rnacentral:rRNA from 1 species
GAUGAACGCUGGCGGCGUGCCUAAUACAUGCAAGUCGAGCGAACAGACGAGGAGCUUGCUCCUCUGACGUUAGCGGCGGACGGGUGAGUAACACGUGGAUAACCUACCUAUAAGACUGGGAUAACUUCGGGAAACCGGAUCUAAUACCGGAUAAUAUAUUGAACCGCAUGGUUCAAUAGUGAAAGACGGUUUUGCUGUCACUUAUCGAUGGAUCCGCGCCGCAUUAGCUAGUUGGUAAGGUAACGGCUUACCAAGGCAACGAUGCGUAUCCGACCUGAGAGGGUGAUCGGCCACACUGGAACUGAGACACGGUCCAGACUCCUACGGGAGGCAGCAGUAUGGAAUCUUCCGCAAUGGGCGAAAGCCUGACGGAGCAACGCCGCGUGAGUGACGAAGGUCUUCGGAUCGUAAAGCUCUGUUAUUAGGGAAGAACAAAUGUGUAAGUAACUAUGCACGUCUUGACGGUACCUAAUCAGAAAGCCACGGCUAACUACGUG